UGGCUUGUCUAGGGUCCAAUGGCAUCCGA
rnacentral:piRNA from 1 species